ensembl:lncRNA
UUCAGUAUGUUUCUUUUACUGUCUGUAGUCUAAACAAGAAGUUUUAUAUUUUGUAUUUUUCAUUUUCUAGAUAUUAAAUUACUCCUUUGCUCAGAAAGGUCAUUUAAGAGGGACAGCAAUAUAUCACUUCACUGAUACUUGUCAUCAUCUGCAACCUUGUCAUGGAUCAUCUGAGUCUUUCCUUACUCUGACUUUGUGCUUGGCCAUGUAAAAUUCCCAUUUGACCUCUUGUAUCUCCUCUUUCACCAUGAGAAGAAGUCUUCCCAGGUGUCUUUUCCUUCCAUGGGAACCCUGAAAUGAACACAAGAGCAGCAGAGCCAUUCCAGCCAAACAACAGGCCUUCAUGAAGGAAGCAGAG